GACGAACGCUGGCGGCGUGCUUAACACAUGCAAGUCGAACGGAAAGGCCCUUCGGGGUCCUCGAGUGGCUAACGGGUGAGUAACACGUUGGUGCUCUGCCCUGCACUUUGGGAUAAGCCUGGGACACUGGGUCUAAUACCGAAUAGGACCGCGCGCUUCAUGGUGUGUGGUGGUAAGCUUUUGCGGUGUGGGAUGGGCCCGCGGCCUAUGAGCUUGUUGGUGGGGUCAUGGACUACCAAGGCGACGACGGGUAGCCGGCCUGAGAGGGUGACCGGGCACACUGGGACUCAGGUAGGGGCCAGACUGCUACGGGAGGCAGCAGUGGGGAAUAUUGCACAAUGGGCGCAAGCCGGAUGCAGCGACGCCGCGUGGGGGAUGACGGCCUUCGGGUAGUAAACCGCUUGCACCAGGGACGAAGCGCAAGUGACGGUACCUGGAGAAGAAGCACCGGCCAACUACGUG
rnacentral:rRNA from 1 species